AGGCGGGCAGUCUUAGGCGAGGCGACCUUAGGAUAGAACCGGCUCGAUACUCUGCAAGGGAAACGGGACAAGGGAGGCAAAUGGAAGGAGGGAGGAGGGACGAGAAGGACCUACGGGAUGGGAAACCGGCAUGAGAACGGCCAGCUUUGGUUACCUGGGAAGCGGGAGCAGGUUCGCGUCCUUUAUGAAGUGCCCGGAUGAAGCUCCGGAACACACACGCCUUCCGCAUUGAGUGCAGCGCCAUCUUGAGAAGGGCGGAGCCGUCUUGUCUUGAGUGACGUCUGCUCAGGGAGACCGUUCCAGAUUCGCGGGUCUUUUUGUUGCCGCGCAUGCGCCCAUGCCUUCGGGGCGGGGGGCAGGGCGCCGCUGUGCUGCUGCCGGAAGAGUCUGCUCUUUGCAGAGCAGGUGGGGAUAGGAAUCGGGUGGGGCUUAGCUUUAGUGUUUCCUUUGGCGACCCAGUCUUUGCUCAGGCUUCCUGGAGAGAAAAUCUCCUUCGGGGGAUAUUAGUAGCAGCGUUUUAGACCGGAAGAAAGUCAAAAAAUCCCUUCUUGGAACACCAUGAUCCUCUUGGAGCGUUGUGAUACCUGGAGGUGGUAGAGGGAAGCUGAAAAAUUUUAUUUGAGAUGGUGAUGAAGCAGCUAAAAGUAUAUCCUUC